GACGAACGCUGGCGGCGUGCUUAACACAUGCAAGUCGAACGGAAAGGCCCUGCUUUUGUGGGGUGCUCGAGUGGCGAACGGGUGAGUAACACGUGAGUAACCUGCCCUUGACUUUGGGAUAACUUCAGGAAACUGGGGCUAAUACCGGAUAGGAGCUCCUGCUGCAUGGUGGGGGUUGGAAAGUUUCGGCGGUUGGGGAUGGACUCGCGGCUUAUCAGCUUGUUGGUGGGGUAGUGGCUUACCAAGGCUUUGACGGGUAGCCGGCCUGAGCGGGGGACCGGCCACAUUGGGACUGAGAUACGGCCCAGACCCCUACGGGAGGCAGCAGUGGGGAAGAGUGCACAAUGGGCGGAAGCCUGAUGCAGCAACGCCGCGUGCGGGAUGACGGCCUUCGGGUUGUAAACCGCUUUCGCCUGUGACGAAGCGUGAGUGACGGUAAUGGGUAAAGAAGCACCGGCUAACUACGUG
rnacentral:rRNA from 1 species